UUCCUUCAAGUACUUCAACCCGUGCAAGAGAGAGAGGGCUUCGGCUUGUGUGGGUGAGGAAGCCCUAGCUUCACAAGCAAAUCCCGCAACCACCAUCCCCUUCGAGUCGCGGAUGAUUCCGGCGGUUGAACAGAGGAACUCUCUUGGGAGCUACGAAGCGUCGACGUUGAGCUUCAACGCAUCCCCCUCCGGCGGCUUCCAUUGACCAAGUCGACAAGAUCUGCUGUUUGAGGGGGUUUUGCUCUGAAGAUAAAUUUGUUUCGAGAUUUCCAGAUGUUCCAAAAUACGGUUGAGGCAAGUUCUUGCUCCGGUAAGCCUUGCUUUCCUUGAAAAACCUCCAUGAGCCAUAUAUCGAAUCUUCUGAUGUUGCUGGGUUGGCAGUGAAUGUUGAUGCGAGGGUCAGUCCAUAUAGGUUUUGUCCAUUUACACAGCAGGAACAGGUGUUCUGUUGUUUCCAUGUGGGUAGAACAGAAGGGGCAUAGGGGUUCAGGGAUGAUUCGCCUUCUGUACAAGUUCUCUCUUGUAGGAAUAGCAUUCUGACAUAAGCUCCAUAAAAAGAUUCACAGCUUUGGGGGUAUAGAAAUAGACCAUAUUCUAGUCCACAAGGAUCUCGGCAUAGUGUAAGAGCAGGAAGCUCUGAUGAACUCAGAUUUGGUAGGGGUAGGGGCUCCGUUAUAACCACUCUUCACUGUGUAUUCUCCUGUCUUAUUUCUUGUCCACACAAGACAGUCUUUCUCUGGGUGAGUGUUGAGAUCAAUUGCCAAAAUUUCAUUCGACGUAGCUUCUUCAAAAGUAUUAAGUACUAGAGGUUCAUUCCAUGUGCUUGAAUCUUCAUUGAUCAGGUCUGAAACCAUAAUAGGGUCAUGCUGAUUUGCUGGGCCACCUAGCACGCCCGAAUGUAGAAAGGGAAAAAUAUGUAAUGUAUGUGAAAGAUUGUUGAGGGCUUGGAAGUCCGAUUUCUACUAUCUCCUUCGGUAAUACUCAAAGAAAAUUAA